CCAGAUCGGAUCUGGGUGUGAUGAUGAUGGCAGCAAAUUCUAAAAACCUGUUCAGUGUCUUUAUAACAGGAAAGCCGUAAACUUAGAAAAGUAGGCUGCAGCUCAUGUGCUCUGUGGUCUGGGCUGGUA
ensembl:miRNA